UGCAUUCACUACUGUAAGUCGCUCUGGAUAUGAGCGUCUGCUAAAUGACGUGUG
rfam:Salmo salar isolate Sally breed double haploid chromosome ssa10, whole genome shotgun sequence.